AAGCUUAUUGGUUGAAAACCUCAAUGAAGACUCUAUUAUUUUUCAAAGACGUUUGUAUGAUUAUGUUUCAUUUAUAAAUGGAAUAAAAAACAUAGACAUUAAUGAAAAAAUGCUAGAUGCUGUGAAAGGAUCUAGAACAAGAUGGAAACAUGCAUUAGAAGACCCCCUCCCCCCCAAAAAAGAGAAAAAGAAACGAAAUACUAUGUACAUACUCUUGAAAUCUUUUUGUUAUUAGGCAAAGACCCUUUUUCUACUAUUGCCAUAAUUUUCUUUUAUGAAUAAUAACAAUGAAGAUUUGAUGUAUUUAUUUAUCUAGCAUUUUCUAUGGUAUUAGGUUGAGUUAAUAAUAACUUUUGCAUAGAAAAUUGAAAGUGCAUGCUAAUAGAAGUGAAUUCUGCCAAAAGGAAUGAAAUUCCACCUCAUGCAUUUUGUAAAAUCAACAGAAAUUUAAAUAAAGGAGUGGGAGGUUUAAUCUCAGUGCUAAGUCACUUAAUAAUUUAUAAGAGCUUCUCGUCAUAAUAAGAAUAUAGAGCUUUUUGAAUGAAAGCCUGUGUUUACAAAAAUGUCAGGUAGUAUUUCUUUCUUUCUUAGUUCUUGCUUUUUUACAUACCUUCAGUUGUUAGAUAAGAUAUUAAAGUGUCAAAAAAUGUAUCAAGUGAAUAUGAAUCAUUUGAAGUUGGUUUUUAGUUUUGAUUAGAAGCAGAUCUGAGACUCCGUUGUUAAUUUCUUGAGCAAUACCUUAUUUGCAAUUGUUUCUAAAAAGUAAAAAUUAAUCAUAACAAGUUUUAUGAAUAUUCAUGUUUUAUUUCUACUUAAAUCUAGUUAUUACAAAAAUAUAAAUAUCAAGCAUGUUUACCUUAGUUGCCAACUCUGUGCGUAUAGUGAGCUGGGUUCGGUGAGAUUAUUGCACUUGCAUGUGCAACUCUGCUGCAUUUUGCAAGAUAUUCUCCAUUUCAGGCUUCAUUUUCCACCCUCUGAAAUCAAGCUGAAAAAUCUAUCGAUCAUUUUAUAAUGGCUAAUAUAAUCAAGAAAAG